CAUGUGACAAUAAGGAACAAGUGCCUGCCAGGUUCUGACUUUGCUAAGCACUGGGAAAGCAUCAGGAGACAACAGCAGGCACCGCCUUUAUGGGGCUUUCAGACUGGUGGUGUAGACCAACACCACACUGCACCAUUAAUUAUUUAAUUGCCCUUGUGAUCAGUGCUGUGAGGGGAGACGGGCAGCUGCUGAGAGCCUGUAACAGAGCUGCCGAGAGCAGACAGAGGAGCCAGAGUUAAGUAAGCAAACGGGAAGCCUUCCGGGCAGAAGGAGCCACAGAGCUCCACAGCUCCCCGGAGGGGUGGAGAGGCCAUGCCGGAAGAACAGGAGAAGGCUGUGCAAGAGAGGGGCGCAGGUGUCUAUGAGAAGUGGAGGGGAGGGCAGAGGAGCAGAGAACAAGGGGAGAGGCUGGCCAGACUGGGUUUCUCGAACCGUGUUCAAGCCUCAGAGCCACAGGCCGCUAGGGUGGGCGUAUGCUUCACACAGGACCAUCAGGCGGCCUUGGCUGCUUUGCUCAGCGCCAGCUCCCUAGUGCUCAGCACAGUGCCUGCACCAAUUUGUGCAAGGAAGGGAGGGAGGGAAGGAGGCCUGACUUUAAGCAGAGGUUUGAGAUUUGCGUCUCGCUCGGGUCGCCGCCGGCUGCAAUGGAGAGACUGGGUGGGAGGGAGCGUAUACGAGGUGCAUGAGUUUGCUUGGGCCCCUGGAACAAAACAGCACAGGCUGGGUGGCUGUGUCCUCAGACAUUUAUUUUCUCCUAGUUCUGUAGAUGGGAAGUCUGAGGCCAAGGUGCCAUCAGGGGGACAUUCUGGAGCGGUCUCUCUUCCUGGCUUGCGCACGGCCAGCUUUUCACUGGGUCCUCACGUGGCUUUCCACUGUCCCUGCGUGGAGAGAGAUCUCUCUGGUAUCUCUUCCUGUAAGGACGGCAGUCCUAUUGUAUUAGGGCCCCACCCUUGGGACCUCAUCUAACUUUAUCUCGUGAAAGUCUCCAUCUCCCAAAGCCACCAAUACUGGGGGAUAGAGCUUGAAUAUACGAAUUGGGGAGCGGGACCACGGUUCAGUCCACAACAUGGUGGACGCAGGGAAACCAGUGAGGAGGUUAGGGGAGAAACGCCAAUGGCUUGGACCGGGUGUUGGCAACGAAGACAAAGGGUCAUGGAGCAGAAAAGUCCUCUGGAAUCGGUGGCGGACUUCAGAGGGAGGGAGGAGGAAGAGGUGUCCAGGGUAACACCUAGGUUUCCACAGUGGCAUUCGUGCACUGAAUGGUGGCCCUGAAAAUGUCUAUCUGCGUCCUAACCUAUUGGGAAUUGGUGAAUGGGACCUAUUUUAGAGAAAGGGGUCUUUGCAGAUAUAAUUGAGUUGAGGAUCUGCGGGUGAGAUCAACCUGGAUUACCCAGGGGGGCCCUAAGUGCCAACGAUCCUGUCCAUCCAACUCCUUAUAAGAGACAAAAGAAUGAAGACAAGGACCAGAGAAGGCGUUGUGAAGGGACAGAGGGAGACUGGAGUCACGUGACCACAAGGAGCCACCAAAAGCUGAAAGAGGCCAGAAAGGAGUCUCCCCAGAGCCUUCAGCGGGGAGCCCGUUCCUGCUGACCCCUGGCUGGACUUCGGGUCUCCGGAGCGGUGGAAGAAUGAAUUUCUGUUGUUUUAAGUCCCCAGCUUUGUGCAAAGUGUCGUCAUCGAGGCAGCUGAGCUCCUGGAGGACGGUCACUCUGCCCGUUUCAAGGACUUGUCAGUGGGCGAGGGAAUCAGCAAACUGGACAGAAGGGUGGAGAUCCAGUGCGGUGGAUGGAGAAAGGUGGAUGGGACAGGAUCUGGCACAGGCAGGAUUCUCAGCCCCGUCAUCUCUGUCCCCAAACACGGCAUCCAGCGGGCAUCACCAACACCUGCGUUCAGGACACUCACCGACGAUGACCCUGCCGCGGACCCUGUCUCUCCUGCUCCACCCCACCCCUGAGUGGCUGAUGACAGGACAGGUAAUGGGGAUGGGUACAAGGUAAGUGAGUCUGUAAGAGAGAACGGUGCCCCCUCAGCUGCACUCAGAAGCGGGCGAGAUGGCUGGGGCCAGCAGGUCAGCUCGGUUUCCGCUCUGCAGGCGAGGUGGGUGUGAGACCACACUCUCCAGAACUCUAGAAUCACAGCACAGAGAGGAACGGAGCUUGUGAGGUGCCUCUCGGUCCACAUCAGCCUGCGCGAGGACGUUUGACGGGGAACCUUGAGUGUCCCCGGCCGGCGGAGGAAAGCCCCUCUCCGGCCUGAGCUGGUGUGAGCUGGGCCUACCCUGGCCCACUGGAUGGACAUGACUCUGGGUUUUCACAGCCACCAAGCCCCCUCUGCUGACACUCUUUUUUAGACACGCUCAAGGCCUCAUCAGCUGCCCGUCAAUCCCGUGGCCCCGGGAGGCCGGCUACGUCUGUCCGUGUUGAGUCUGCCGGUCUCUGCUCCGUCAAAAAAUUCAACUUACUGAAUUUAUAAUCCCACUUGCAGAGCACAAGCGAGCACCUCUGUUUCCAAGUCUUCUGGGGACAGGUAUCCGCGUGCUGCCCAGGCACCGGUGGCUCCCGCUGCUUUCCUGAUGCUGUCACGGGUCUGGCAGCUGGGGGACAGCCCGGCAGAAUGGAGGCCUGUCGAGCCGCCCCUUCUGCAGAAGCCACCGUGACAGGCCCCUGCCCCCACCCACAUGGCAUCAUCUCGACCGUACUGUAACGCUGCAGUUAGAAAGGGAGACGAAGUGACUCCUCAGGCAGACCUCUCUGGGAUACUGGAUUCUUUCAAACUUAUUUCUCGGGGUGCCUGGGUGGCUCGGCCAGUUGAGCGUCCAACUUUUGAUUCUGGCUUAGGUCAUGACCUCAUGGUUCACGAGACUGAGCCCCGAGCUGGGCUCUGCGCUGACAGCACGGAACUUGCUUGGGAUUCUCUCUCUCUCUCCAUUGCUCUCUGGCCCUCCCCCACUCAUGCUGUCUUUCUC